rnacentral:rRNA from 1 species
UACGUAGGGGGCAAGCGUUGUCCGGAAUUAUUGGGCGUAAAGAGCGUGUAGGCGGUCCGGUAAGUCAGCUGUGAAAGUCAAGGGCUCAACCCUUGAAUGCCGGUUGAUACUGUCGGGCUAGAGUCCGGAAGAGGCGAGUGGAAUUCCCGGUGUAGCGGUGAAAUGCGCAGAUAUCGGGAGGAACACCAAUGGCGAAGGCAGCUCGCUGGGACGGUACUGACGCUGAGGCGCGAAAGCUAGGGGAGCAAACGGG